UACGAAGGCAAUAACAUCAUCAUCAUCAUGAAAUCAUAUAUAAACUAUAUAACAUAAUACUUAUCAAGCCUUUCGUAAUUCAAUCGUUACACAACAUAUUUUCCUCAUUUACCAGCCCACUAGUAUCCAUGGGGAUCCAUAGGGGUCCCGCUACCCGUUAACCCUUAACACUUGAAAUCAGAUUCCAGGGCCGUCCCCAUACCCCGUCCGGUAUGGGCGCCGAAACUAUAAACCUCAUUACCCCGUCCGGUAUGAGAGUGAAACGGGCCGUCCCCAUACCCCGUCCGAUAUGGGCGCCAAAACACAUAAGAUCUCCAUACCCCG
rnacentral:lncRNA from 1 species